GUGAACAUCUCCUGCUCUGACUGCAGCGACUGCUGCGAGAGGACCGUGCCGCCUGGGAGUGCUUUGGGACGGUGUGGGGCCCACGGCAGCACCCGCUGCUCGUUGAGAAGAGUAAGAACGAUACGUGCUUUCACGUCAGUCUCCAAUAACACCAGAAAAAGUCGCUAGAUUUGUCGCUAGUCGAUAUUUUGAAAAAGUGUCGCUAGAGGGGUCUGAAUACUCGCUAAAUAUAGCGACAAAGUCGUUAAGUUAGCAACACUGCCCACAUUAGCUAAACAUUAGUAUACUGUAACUUACGACACUGUAUAUGCGUGUAUUACUAGCACAGAUGUAAACAUAAUCAGAUAAGAGAGAUCGGUUCCCAAUUUAGCCUUAACAUUAACUGUCUGUUAAUGGAGCCUAAGGUCUAACGUCAACUUACACAGCGACAACUGCCUUGUUCAGGGGCAGAACGACACAUUUUUACCUUGUCAGCUCGGGGAUUCUAUGUCGAUUACCGGCCCAACGCUGUAACCCACAAGGCUAUCUGCCUCCCCGGAAAUCACCUGCGUUGGCCGGGAACCAAUCAACAGAAUCCGGGCAGAACCUUCAGUGGACCAGUAUGGGUUGAAGGGGGGUUCAAUAUGUCUGGCUGUUUCAGAACCUCCUGAGAUGAUCAAAGGACUUAAAUGGAUGAAGGACUGUGAUGUAAUAUUUGGAGACAAAGAGAUCUCUCCUAAAUACAAGGAGAAGGUGGAUUAUAACUCUGUGAACCAUUCUCUGUGUAUUAAGAAUCUGUUGAACACAGACAGUGGAAUUUACAUGGUAAACUACAGGAAAAGUUGGAAAGAAUCAACGACUACAUAUAGACUGUUAGUGGAGGAUCAUGUUCCCAAACCAGUCAUGGAUGUCACAUCUCUCUUCAACACAAGUGUGGGACUCUGUGAUGUCACAGUGAACUGUUCAGGUAAAGAUGGCUGGAUGUUGUCUGUCUGUGGAUGGGGUCAGUGUACACUGUCACAACAGUUACUGUCUCUGUCUGGGGUCAACAUCAUCAUCUCCAAUGGCAACGGGACUAUCCAAUGCACCAGCAGCAACCACGUCAGCACCCAGACCAUCUCUCAACACGUGGAGGACAUAUGGAAUGGAUGUCAACUCAGGGUUUAAGAAGAGGUGAAGAUCAGGACCAGGUGUGCAGAAGGUUGAUGAGAUGCAGGUAUUGAUGAGAAGGAUGCCAAAGCUUCAGCAUUAUCAGUCAGGACCAUUGUGGCCAAUAUUGUUCGAUCAGUGUUUGUCUGUGUUGGAUUGGCAGUCACCAUAAUGGCCAUCAUCAAGGUCAAAAGAUGGAUAUCCUCAAAAGAAGAUGACUCAACUCAGGAAGUCAUCGUUGAAGUCGCUGACACUUCAGUGAAUGAUUCAGCAGAGGUGAGGCCAGAACCACUCGGCCCUUCUGAGGUACAAACAUUUUAUAGAAAUGUGCAGAAACCAGGACAGCAACACUGAAUGGACUUCACCCAAUUGACCAGCGUAUUUGUAUGAUAGAGUUAUACCAUGGGACAAAUAUUUAACACAUAUUUAAUUUAGUAUCAUCUGCAGUGUAUAUUUGCUUAAAGGGAGAGCCGUGUCGGGUCGACUUCCACAACAACGAAGAGCAUUGAAGCAUGAGGCUAAAAUCUGCAUGUUCUGAUGUGAAUCACACCCUACACAUGAACAGAUACUCUGUGAGUACAACGUCUUGCUCCGCUCUUAUCUACAAAUUCUGUGGUUCAUUCUGCUGGUCGUGGAAACGUCAUAUCGCUAAGUCUCAGUUUAAUGCAACUUGUGUUUUUGGAAUGUUGAAUGUCACACUUUGGUUGUGUUUUUGUAAUGUUGAAUGUCAAACUUUUUCAGUUCUUGUUUUUUCCCCCCAAAAAUGAAUAAAUGAUUAAUUGAACCAUCA